CCUACGGGAGGCAGCAGUGGGGAAUAUUGCGCAAUGGGGGAAACCCUGACGCAGCAACGCCGCGUGAAGGAAGAAGGCCUUCGGGUUGUAAACUUCUUUNAUUGGGGACGAAGGAAGUGACGGUACCCAAAGAACAAGCCACGGCUAACUACGUGCCAGCAGCCGCGGUAAUACCUAGGUGGCGAGCGUUGUCCGGAAUUACUGGGUGUAAAGGGCGCGUAGGCGGGGAUGCAAGUCAGAUGUGAAAUUCCGGGGCUUAACCCCGGCGCUGCAUCUGAAACUGUAUCUCUUGAGUGCUGGAGAGGAAAGCGGAAUUCCUAGUGUAGCGGUGAAAUGCGUAGAUAUUAGGAGGAACACCAGUGGCGAAGGCGGCUUUCUGGACAGUAACUGACGCUGAGGCGCGAAAGCGUGGGGAGCAAACAGGAUUAGAUACCCUGGUAG
rnacentral:rRNA from 1 species